rnacentral:rRNA from 1 species
GACGAACGCUGGCGGCGCGCUUAACACAUGCAAGUCGAACGGAAAGGCCUGCUUUCCCUUGUGGAUUGCGUGUACGCGAGUGGCGAACGGGUGAGUAACACGUCAGUGAUCUGCCCCCAACUUGGGUAUAAGCCUGGGAGACAGUGUCGAAUUCCCGAUAGGACUGCAGGGUGGUGCAUGUGGUGGAAAACGAUCUGCUAGUGGUAGGGGAUGAGCUCGCGGCCUAUCAGCUUGUUGGUGGGGUAAUGGCCUACCAAGGCGGCGACGGGUCGCCGGCCUGAGAGCGUGGACGGUCACACUGGGACUGGGUCCCGGCCCCUACGCGUGCCGGCGGCAGCAGUGGUGACUCUUGGGGCGUGGGCGUAAGGCUGCUGCGGCGACGCCGCGUGGAGGAUGUCGGCAUUCGAGUUGUAAGCUCCUUUCGACGGCGAGGAAGCCAACUGGUUGGGCGCGUGGUGACGGUAGUGGUAGAAGAAGCCCCGGCUAACUACGUG